AUUUUCACUGCACUGCUGCCCUACAGAGGCCAAGAGCUCACCGGCGACUUUAAGGGUCAAAGGUCAUGACUAGGGUUUUGAUGUCUACCCAUAAAUGCAAUUAAAUACCAUACAAGUCAUACAUGCCUGGAAAUUUUGCAUUUUUCUGAUGCCGUUAACUGCUCUUUGGCUCUGCAGGGCCACAUACAUCAUGAAUGUGUUAGCCUUGUG